GCCAACAUAGCUCAGUUGGUAGAGCAGCUCAUUCGUAAUGAGCAGGUCGCCGGUUCAAGUCCGGCUGUUGGCU
rnacentral:tRNA from 1 species